rnacentral:lncRNA from 1 species
UCAGCAAUCAGCAGUAGCAUUCAGCAGCAGAAUUCACAGCAUCCAGCAGCAUAAACAACAGAAUAAACAACAACAUACAACAUUAGAAUAAACAACAUUCAGCAGCAUAAUCAGCGUAAUCGGCAUGCAUGUGGGUCUGGCGUAGGGCUUGGCAUCUGCGAUGUACUCGGGGUCGGGGUGAACACCUCGUGAUUUCUGAUGUCAUAAGGCUCCGGCGAUGGACCUGGCGUCGGCGUCGGAGUCGCAGUCGUGUGGUCACUCUUGCCGCCGCCGGAGUCGGAGCCUUCGAAAUCGAUGUCCAUCUCGAGCUGGAGGAGGCCGCGGACGGGCGGCUAGCGAGUCAGUGUGGCGGAGUAGGCGGGUGCGCGGCCGGCGUACUGGUGGAGGAGGAGGCGUCGAUGAGGGCAGGAAGUAGGAAACGGCUCGGGGAGAAAGCAGGGCUGCUAGGUGGCGACUCGGGGAAGAAGCAGGGCUGCUAGGCUGCUGCUCGGGGAGGAAGCAGGCGGCGUCGUGGUGGACUGGACAUGGGAAAU